CUGGCUCAGAUUGAACGCUGGCGGCAGGCCUAACACAUGCAAGUCGAACGGUAGCACAGAGAGCUUGCUCUCGGGUGACGAGUGGCGGACGGGUGAGUAAUGUCUGGGAAACUGCCCGAUGGAGGGGGAUAACUACUGGAAACGGUAGCUAAUACCGCAUAACGUCGCAAGACCAAAGUGGGGGACCUUCGGGCCUCACACCAUCGGAUGUGCCCAGAUGGGAUUAGCUAGUAGGUGGGGUAAUGGCUCACCUAGGCGACGAUCCCUAGCUGGUCUGAGAGGAUGACCAGCCACACUGGAACUGAGACACGGUCCAGACUCCUACGGGAGGCAGCAGUGGGGAAUAUUGCACAAUGGGCGCAAGCCUGAUGCAGCCAUGCCGCGUGUAUGAAGAAGGCCUUCGGGUUGUAAAGUACUUUCAGCGGGGAGGAAGGCGGUGAAGUU
rnacentral:rRNA from 1 species